UGUAUCAAUGAUGAUAACCUGGCUCCCUCUUCUGAAGUCUCUGAGGAUAAAUGCCAUCGUCACCCUAUUUCUGUCUGAGAUACU